GUAGCUGUAGUAUAAUUGGUAGUGUUUCCGUGUACAGAAUGGAAAUUGUGGGUUCAAGUCCCGCUGACUACA
rfam:Aedes aegypti strain Liverpool supercont1.229 genomic scaffold, whole genome shotgun sequence.